UCUUUUCUUUUGAUAAGAGAGUUUUUAAAACCAGUGUUAUUUAUGUAAGUUUAAGAGAAGUUUAUGUAUUAAAUUAUUGAUAUUAAAUAGUUUUAUUAGGCUUAGACUUAAUUUUAGGUCAUUUUGGGGGUUUAGCUCAGUUGGCUAGAGCAUCGGCUUUGCAAGCCGAGGGUCAAGGGUUCGAGUCCCUUAACCUCCAUUGGGCUUAUGCCCUAAAUUGUAAUUAAGUAUGUUUUUAAGUAACUUUGUUAAAGUAAUUGUUGGAAUGUGAAACACAAGAAGUUAAAAUUUCUGGGUUAAGUUGAGAUCUGUUGAUAUUAAGAAAAAUGUCUAGAAGCAAAAGCAAGUUUUCGAUAAAACCCGAAGUUGUUUCGCUAAAGUGCAAGGAUUAAACAGGAUUGUAUUUUUCAGCAGCCUAUUUUAUAAACGAUCUGCAUUUAGUAAAUAGUUUUUAGUUAGGAAAUAAUGUAGAUUACUAAGUGUGAUGUCUGAGAGAAGGACAAGUAUUGUAGCGAGCUUAAAUCCUUAUUAUCGUUGCCAGUAUUUAGUGGUAGGGAUUCGGAUAAGAUUGCCAGUUAUAAGUUGGAGGAAGGCAAAGAUUGCAUUAAAUCGUUAUCGCUCUUAUGUUUUAGGUUACAAGUUUGCAACAAUAACUCAAAAAAGCCAAGCAAAAUACCAUAAAGCAGAUUUCAGUUUGGAUUUGCCCGACACUCAAUGGCAUGAAGUUGUAAUAGUUAGUAAUCGUGUAUACCUUAAUAUAGAAAUUG
rnacentral:misc_RNA from 1 species